UGGCGGACGGGUGAGUAAUGUCUGGGAAACUGCCUGAUGGAGGGGGAUAACUACUGGAAACGGUAGCUAAUACCGCAUAACGUCGCAAGACCAAAGAGGGGGACCUUCGGGCCUCUUGCCAUCGGAUGUGCCCAGAUGGGAUUAGCUAGUAGGUGGGGUAACGGCUCACCUAGGCGACGAUCCCUAGCUGGUCUGAGAGGAUGACCAGCCACACUGGAACUGAGACACGGUCCAGACUCCUACGGGAGGCAGCAGUGGGGAAUAUUGCACAAUGGGCGCAAGCCUGAUGCAGCCAUGCCGCGUGUAUGAAGAAGGCCUUCGGGUUGUAAAGUACUUUCAGCGGGGAGGAAGGGAGUAAAGUUAAUACCUUUGCUCAUUGACGUUACCCGCAGAAGAAGCACCGGCUAACUCCGUGCCAGCAGCCGCGGUAAUACGGAGGGUGCAAGCGUUAAUCGGAAUUACUGGGCGUAAAGCGCACGCAG
rnacentral:rRNA from 1 species